rnacentral:rRNA from 1 species
AACGCACGCUCCCCUCCUCCCUAACACAUGCAAGUCGAGCGAGACCUUCGGGUCUCGUGGCGCACGGGUGCGUAACGCGUGGGAACCUGCCCUUAGGUUCGGAAUAACUCCCCGCAAGGGGUGCUACUACCGGAUAAUGUCUUCGGACCAAAGAUGUAUCGCCUUUGGAUGGGCCCGCGGUGGAGUAGCUAGUUGGUAGGGUAAAAGCCUACCAAGGCGACGAUCCAUAGCUGGUCUGAGAGGAUGAUCAGCCACACUGGGACUGAGACACGGCCCAGACUCCUACGGGAGGCAGCAGUAGGGAAUAUUGGACAAUGGGCGAAAGCCUGAUACAGCAAAGCCGCGUGAGUGAUGAAGGCCUUAGGGUUGUAAAGCUCUUUUACCCGGGAUGAUAAUGACAGUACCGGGAGAAUAAGCUCCGGCUAACUCCGUG